CGAGAACGGCAGAGGGUUGUAUGCUUAAGUGCAUGCCCUCCACAGUUGCGUUCCAGGAAAUCUGACCUUGGGUUAUUUUGGAUGCUGGCUGAUAGAAGCCUUUUUCUUACUGUCUGAGCACUGUCGGUGAAGGAACUGCACUCCCCCUUUUUGCAUUUUAUCCCACUGACUUUACUAGACAGGAUUGAUGCGAGCAGGUAUGCAGUUAUCAAACAGAGCAGAAGUAUGUAAGUUCUUUGUGUGGCACAUAAGGAACUUCUAAAGCAGUAACAUAUUAAAGAGCUCUUCACUUCUGUAUUCCCUAAGUGUUGGCACAGUGGAAAAAGGUAACAGUAAUUUAAUAUAUAGAUGUCUGGAUUAAUUGUUGACUGCAGUUAACAGGAAAACUAGUACUGUGAAGGUACCAGCCACCGCCGUCCUCAGCAGUUUAUGAAUUUACUGUGCCUCCUACUAAAGAUUGAAGAUAACUACGAGCUUAUGCCUAAAGGCAAGAAGCAAGUCACUUAUGUUCUUAUGAACUCCAACAUAUACCUGAGUAUAAAUUAAUGUUUGGUUAUCCUGGAAGGAAGGAAGCUAAUUUAUUCCACAGGCGCACUCUCUUUAUUGCAAUAACGGGAACAUUGCACUGAGAAAAUAGAGACAGAUUCAAAAUGGUUUGAAAGGAAGAAGGCAUAUUCUUCACUGGUUUAAGCAGAUUUGAGACCUGAGAAUUUGAACACAUGAGCAAUGUAUUAAUCCCAAUUCCAUAUUGUUAUCUGACUGAUGUGAAUAGAAAACAAAUGCUUUAUUGAUGAAGGAAAUUUUGAAAACAAGAAUGAGGAACCAUGUCUCUUGAAUGCUGUGGGUUGACGGUAUUAAUAGAUGAACAUCAGUCUUUUCCUUUGGUGAAAGAAGACAAGGAAACUUACUCCUUAUUAAAGAAGAUGCAAGACUCAGAAAGACUCAUAGGCCUAGUUCCUUGGAGAGGAUGAAAUAAGAACAAGGUAAG